rnacentral:rRNA from 1 species
AUUGAACGCUGGCGGCAUGCCUUACACAUGCAAGUCGAACGGCAGCACGGGAGCAAACCUGGUGGCGAGUGGCGAACGGGUGAGUAAAGUAUCGGAACGUGCCCAGUCGUGGGGGAUAACGUAGCGAAAGUUACGCUAAUACCGCAUACGAUCUAUGGAUGAAAGCGGGGGAUCGCAAGACCUCGCGCGAUUGGAGCGGCCGAUAUCAGAUUAGGUAGUUGGUGGGGUAAAGGCUCACCAAGCCGACGAUCUGUAGCUGGUCUGAGAGGACGACCAGCCACACUGGGACUGAGACACGGCCCAGACUCCUACGGGAGGCAGCAGUGGGGAAUUUUGGACAAUGGGCGAAAGCCUGAUCAGCCAUGCCGCGUGCAGGAUGAAGGCCUUCGGGUUGUAAACUGCUUUUGUACGGAACGAAAAGGUUUGGGCUAAUAAGCUGAGCUCAUGACGGUACCGUAAGAAUAAGCACCGGCUAACUACGUGCCAGCCGCCGCAGUAA